rnacentral:lncRNA from 1 species
AUUUCAUCUCCUUGACAUUAUCUAUAGUUGAAUUUAUCAGCAAUCCUAAUUAAGUGAAGAUAUCUUCUAAAAAGAAAUUCUGUAAUCCUGAAUCCUUACUUGAUUUUUAAGCAAUGCAAGAAACUACAGUAUUUAGUUCUCUGUAAUAAGGGACUCAAUAUAAGAUCUUCUGAUCUAAGGCAAUCUUUACAUUCUUAGUCCAGGAAUAGAUUUCCUAUAGGAGAAUCUGAGCUAUCAAUCAUUCCAGACAAUUGCUCUGGACAUCAGAUCUGAUGUUCAGAGCAGGCUCAGGUUCAAUAAAAGGACAAGAGCCUUUCCUUGGCUGAUCCAUCUGCUUUCUCAUUGCUCUCAAUUCCCUUGUACCAUGGUAUUCAAACAAGUUGAAUUUUGUUCCUGGUAACCAAUUCCACAAUGAGAUGAUGACAUUCCCACCCAAGCUUUGAAGUAAAAUAGAAGUUAUCAAGUGUUUUUAAUGUUGCUUGAUUGUCUGAUUGAAUGCAAAUAUAUUUAUUAAUAUAAUCCCCUAUCAAGAUUGAUUUUAACACAUGUAGGAAUAGCAUAGAUUUCUUUCUGAAAGAUAGUAGCAAACCAUUCAAGGGAAUAAGAAUAUGGAAAGAAAUUCUUGUUCCCUUACAGUAAACUCUGCCCCUACACCAAUAGUGGUUUCAGAACAGUCUAUAUAUCAGACCAGUCCAUCCUUGAUACUGUACUCAAAUCCACCUCUCCAUCCCUCCACAUUGAGAAAAACAGCUAUGAAGAGUCUGAAGAAGCUAAAUCUUGGCAACAGUAAUCCUUAAUCAUCUCAAGAAUGUGAUUAUGUCUUAUUCUAUUCAAAAGAUGAAUGUUUCACUUUGCAAGUCAAGAAAUUCUUCACCUAUUUGAAUGGAGUCUAUAACAACUCUCUUGACACAAUUGACCUCAGUGGCUCAUGAGGAGCUCAUGACAGCUCAUCACGAGCUACCAACUCAAAAGAGUGGAGGUAGCUCAAAAGUGCUGAAUAUUGAUUUGUACCAACCUCAGAUCCAGGACACUACAGAUGCUCUAAGUGACAUAUCUGAAGGUUCAGUAGCAUCCCCAGAAUUCCAACCAUUGCUGACAAACCUGACCAGAUCCUGUUCCUCUAUAGAAACAGUCAUUGAAAUAUAUUGGUCAUAUAGAAUUAGUAUUAGGAUCUAAGAGUAUCUUAAAGGACCCCAGAUUUAUCUCAGUAGAGUGUACAGAGUUCCAUUUGUAGCUCUAUAUCUCCAAAAGGAAGAAUAGAACCUAUAGAUUUAUCUGGAUCUUCUAUUGGCAUCAGAUAUCCUAAUAGAAGUUCCAGUAAAAGCUAGUUGGGAAAUGUAUCUCAGUAGCUGAAAGCCUCUGGUACUAUUACUUUCUCCUUAGUCCAAAAAAAUGGCUCAAAGGGCAUCCAUUCAAAGAUGUUUUUAAAAACCAUAAAGGUCAAAAAAUUGGAUCUCCAAAGAGGUUGUUUAUGAUAUUCCAUUUUUCGCUACUCCAAUACCACUCAACCAUCAGCAUAAUAUCUUACACCUUGAUUUGGGUAGAACUAGAGCUGCUUUAGCUAGGGAAAGGUGCUCAAAAUUGAGAUCCCUACUCCUAUUGUUCCUUCUACAACAAGGACACAAAUAAUAGAACAAUAAAAUCCCUCUAUAAUCCUAUGUCAAAGAUAUGUUUGUCUUAUAGGAGAAUAAGGAAGACAGAAAUGCUAUUUACUCAUAUAAUUCAUUCACCUUUUUUAUCACAGUUUUAUAAUCUAAACAAAGGAUGCAUGAUUUAAGCCAGGAAAGGAUUAUAAUUUCUACAAAAGUUUAAAUCAUGAUAAACAAUGUUUUCUUGUCAGUUGCUUUUUAUUUAACUAAAGGCAUGUUGUAACGAAGCUAGUUUGUAGACGGCUAGAACUUGUCGCGAGUUGACUUACAGGGAAAGUUAUUAUUUAUACGCGACU